rnacentral:rRNA from 1 species
UACGAAGGGGGCUAGCGUUGCUCGGAAUUACUGGGCGUAAAGAGCUCGUAGGCGGUGUGUCACGUCGGCCGUGAAAACCUGGGGCUUAACUCUGGGCGUGCGGUCGAUACGGGCAUCACUAGAGUUCGGCAGGGGAGACUGGAAUUCCUGGUGUAGCGGUGAAAUGCGCAGAUAUCAGGAGGAACACCGGUGGCGAAGGCGGCUCACUGGCCCGAUACUGACGCUGAGGCACGAAAGCGUGGGGAGCAAACAGG